rnacentral:rRNA from 1 species
AUUGAACGCUGGCGGCAGGCUUAACACAUGCAAGUCGAGCGGGGGAAGGUAGCUUGCUACCGGACCUAGCGGCGGACGGGUGAGUAAUGCUUAGGAAUCUGCCUAUUAGUGGGGGACAACAUCUCGAAAGGGAUGCUAAUACCGCAUACGUCCUACGGGAGAAAGCAGGGGAUCUUCGGACCUUGCGCUAAUAGAUGAGCCUAAGUCGGAUUAGCUAGUUGGUGGGGUAAAGGCCUACCAAGGCGACGAUCUGUAGCGGGUCUGAGAGGAUGAUCCGCCACACUGGGACUGAGACACGGCCCAGACUCCUACGGGAGGCAGCAGUGGGGAAUAUUGGACAAUGGGGGGAACCCUGAUCCAGCCAUGCCGCGUGUGUGAAGAAGGCCUUAUGGUUGUAAAGCACUUUAAGCGAGGAGGAGGCUACUUUAGUUAAUACCUAGAGAUAGUGGACGUUACUCGCAGAAUAAGCACCGGCUAACUCUGUGCCAGCCGCCGCGGUAAUAC